ensembl:lncRNA
GAGGAAGCGAUCAGCUCACAGUCCCAUGAUCAGGACCAGUUACUCUGCCUCCAGUCCCAGCUGAAAAUGUGUUCUACCAGGCCACAAGGGGCCCUCUUCUGUGGCCCCAUAACCUCUUGCUCCUUCCCUGAUGGCUCUGCAGAUAAAGAAUCUCUCCUGCAAUGCAGGAGACACAGAUUCGAUCCCUGGGUUGGGAAGAUCCCCUGGAGGAGGAAAUGGCAACCCACUCUAGUAUUCUUGCCUGGGAAAUCCCAUGGACAGAGGAGCGUGGCCAGCUACAGUCCCUGGGGUUGCAAAGAGUUGGACACGACUGAGCGACUAAGCAAGGCAGGCAACUCCUCACUCCCAGAGCCUGUACUGAAGAUGCCUAUGUCCCUCCCCUCCUCAGAACUGGGCAUCAGCACACCUCCUGCAGGACCUGUCCACCCAAGCUCCUCUCACUUGUCAUAAGGGACCAUACAAAGCCUUGCUGCUCAAAGUGUGGCCUGAGGACAAGCAGCACCAGGGCCAUCUGGGAGGUUGUUAGAAAUGCCUCUGCCAGUCUCAGCUCCGAACCCAGACCCACCGAACCUGCAUUUGAGCAAGAUCCCCAGGUGAUUCAUAAGCACCGGGAAGGUGGAGAAGCACUGGUGUUUGUUCUUUAACACCCACCCUCUGUCAGAGUCACGCGUGUCGAGAUUUUGUGUCUCAACAGUAGAGUUGCCUUCUUCUUGAGAAAGGGGACUAUGGCUGUUGGGUCUCACACAGAGCACGGAACUCAGAGCACAGUCCUAGGCGCACAGUAGGUGCUUUUUCCCUGACCUGGAACAAUCGUGUGUGGACAUCUCAGGAGAACGGACACAGAGUCCAGAGUCCAUAGCAGCCAAGGGCCCUGUCACCCAGGGAAGACCUCUCAGCUGCCGGCUGGGAGCACCCCCAACCAGUGGAGCAAGCCCACUUCCCAGCCAGGGCAGCAGGGGAGGACGGAGCAUCUCCUCCUCACCCACUUCGGCCACUGGUCACUGUGUGACCUGGGUGGGUACUGCAGGUUGGUCCUCUAGGUUCCUUUUCUCUGAAAUAGAGGGCUAGUAUCUGUUCCACCAGAGAAGGCAAUGGCACCCCACUCCAGUACUCUUGCCUGGAAAAUCCCAUGGACGGAGGAGCCUAGAAGGCUGCAGUCCAUGGGAUCGCUGAGGGUCGGACACGACUGAGUGACUUCACUUUCACUUUUCACUUUCAUGCAUUGGAGAAGGAAAUGGCAACCCACUCCAGUGUUCUUGCCUGGAGAAUCCUAGGGACGGGGGAGCCUGGUGGGCUGCUGUCUAUGUCGGACACGACUGAAUCGACUUAGCAGCAGCAGCAGCAGCAGCAGCAGCAGCAGCAGCAUCUGUUCCACAGACCUGCUGAGGUCACCUCAACUUUGGGGCACCUGGUGAGAGUGUGAAAGUAUUAGUCGUUCACUCAUGUGACUCUUUGUGACCGUGCGGAUUGUAGCCCGCCAGGCUCCUCUGUCCGUGGAAUUCUCCAGUGGGCUUCCUGAUGGCUGAAGUUGAGUGUUACUUGCAGCUGAACCCCAGUACCUAAUGGAGACUGACACUUAGCCGUGACUGGAAUAAGCGAAUGAAUGCAUGAAUGAGGCCUGAGGGUCUGCUCCACAG